rnacentral:rRNA from 1 species
UACGUAGGGUGCGAGCGUUAAUCGGAAUUACUGGGCGUAAAGCGUGCGCAGGCGGUUCGUUAAGUCAGCUGUGAAAGCCCAGGGCUCAACCUGGGAAUGGCAGUUGAUACUGGCGAUCUAGAGUGCGGUAGAGGGCAGUGGAAUUCCCGGUGUAGCAGUGAAAUGCGUAGAGAUCGGGAGGAACAUCUGUGGCGAAGGCGACUGCCUGGACCAGCACUGACACUGAGGCGCGAAAGCUAGGGUAGCAAACGGG